AUACGUAGGGUGCAAGCGUUGUUCGGAAUCACUGGGCGUAAAGGGCGUGUAGGCGGAGAAGUAAGCCAGAGGUGAAAGCCCGGGGCUCAACCCCGGAGGGUCUUUUGGAACUGCUUUUCUUGAGAGGGUUAGAGGUUAGCGGAAUUCCUGGUGUAGCGGUGAAAUGCGUAGAUAUCAGGAGGAACACCGGAGGCGAAAGCGGCUAACUGGGGCCAAUCUGACGCUGAGGCGCGAAAGCAUGGGGAGCAAACGGGAGUAGAAACCCCAGUAGUCC
rnacentral:rRNA from 1 species